GAAGAUUGUUGUUGGCCACAAAUUAGUUAGAAACUGAGUGCCAAAAGAGCAAAGGGUAAGGGCUGUAGAAUCAUACACUUCUCUUAUCCUCACAUCCAAUCUCCUCCACCCAAUUCAUAAUCCACUACCCAAUCUCUACUAAAAACAUCCCAAUUCCCAUUUCUCCUUAUUUUUCCUUCUUCACCAUUCCCCCCCUCUUAAUUCUCUUUACUCAUAAUUCAUAAAAAAACAUGGCUACUGCAGUAAGUGCUGCAGUUUCUCUUCCUUCAUCCAAGUCCACCUCCUUUUCCUCUAGAAACUCCAUCAUCUCUACAGACAAAAUCAACUUCAACAAGGUGCCCUUGUACUACAGAAAUGUGUCUGGUGCUAGUAGAUUAGUUUCUAUCAGAGCCCAAGUGACCACUGAGGCUCCUGCUAAAGUUGAGAAGAUUUCAAAGAAACAGGAGGAAGGUGUGAUUGUCAAUAAAUUCAGGCCAAAGGAACCUUAUGUUGGUAGAUGUCUGCUAAACACUAAGAUCACUGGUGAUGAUGCACCUGGUGAAACUUGGCAUAUGGUUUUCAGCACUGAGGGAGAGGUCCCAUAUAGAGAAGGACAAUCCAUUGGGGUAAUUGCUGAUGGUGUUGAUGCCAAUGGGAAGCCUCACAAGCUUAGA
rnacentral:misc_RNA from 1 species